rfam:Flammeovirgaceae bacterium 311, complete genome.
GGAGGAGUAUUGGACUUCCGCAGACGCCCGUCAGGGGGAGUCUGCAAACCAACUUAUGCUGCUGGAGGAGUAACUGCCUUUGGUGGUGAGCGAUAAGGAAAAACGGGAACCGAUAUUCCUGUAGGU